rnacentral:rRNA from 1 species
ACCUCGAUGUCGGCUCGUCGCAUCCUGGGGCUGGAGUAGGUCCCAAGGGUUGGGCUGUUCGCCCAUUAAAGCGGUACGCGAGCUGGGUUUAGAACGUCGUGAGACAGUUCGGUCCCUAUCCGCUGCGCGCGUAGGAAAUUUGAGAGGAUCUGACCCUAGUACGAGAGGACCGGGUUGGACGAACCUCUGGUGUGCCAGUUGUUCUGCCAAGAGCACCGCUGGUUAGCUACGUUCGGGAUGGAUAACCGCUGAAAGCAUCUAAGCGGGAAGCCGGCCUCAAGAUGAGAUUUCCAUGCCUUCGGGCGAGAGGCUCCCAGCCAGACUACUGGGUUGAUAGGCGAGAUGUGGAAGCGUGGUAACACGUGCAGCUGACUCGUACUAAUAAGCCGAUGACUUGAUAAC